UACGUAGGGGGCAAGCGUUAUCCGGAUUUACUGGGUGUAAAGGGAGCGCAGGCGGCAAGGCAAGUCUGAUGUGAAAACCCAGGGCUCAACCCUGGGAUUGCAUUGGAAACUGUCUAGCUAGAGUGUCGGAGAGGUAAGUGGAAUUCCUAGUGUAGCGGUGAAAUGCGUAGAUAUUAGGAGGAACACCAGUGGCGAAGGCGACUUACUGGACGAUAACUGACGCUGAGGCUCGAAAGCGUGGGGAGCAAAC
rnacentral:rRNA from 1 species